ACGUACACUCCUACGGGAGGCAGCAGUGGGGAAUAUUGCACAAUGGGCGCAAGCCUGAUGCAGCCAUGCCGCGUGUAUGAAGAAGGCCUUCGGGUUGUAAAGUACUUUCAGCGGGGAGGAAGGCAAUACGGUUAAUAACCGUGUUGAUUGACGUUACCCGCAGAAGAAGCACCGGCUAACUCCGUGCCAGCAGCCGCGGUAAUACGGAGGGUGCAAGCGUUAAUCGGAAUUACUGGGCGUAAAGCGCACGCAGGCGGUCUGUCAAGUCGGAUGUGAAAUCCCCGGGCUCAACCUGGGUACUGCAUUCGAAACUGGCAGGCUGGAGUCUUGUAGAGGGGGGUAGAAUUCCAGGUGUAGCGGUGAAAUGCGUAGAGAUCUGGAGGAAUACCGGUGGCGAAGGCGGCCCCCUGGACAAAGACUGACGCUCAGGUGCGAAAGCGUGGGGAGCAAACAGGAUUAGAAACCCGAGUAGUCCC
rnacentral:rRNA from 1 species